rnacentral:lncRNA from 13 species
AGUCACAAACUCAUGUGGAGGGAGCAAUACAUAUGUAGACCUCGUUUCAAGAUAUCUAUUUCAAAUACAAGCAAGUGUCCCUAACAGCACAAAGUCGACUUUAAGUCGACUAUGAGUCGGCCAUAACUGCUAGACGUCUGGAAAAUGGACGUCCAUAAAUCGACUUUAGACGACUUAAAGACGUCUAUAAGUCAUACAAUGUCCCACUUUAAUCGACAACUAUAAGUCGACUUUUAGAGACGUCUUUAAGUCAUACAUUUGAAGACAACUAUAAGUCGACUAUAGUUAGCCAUCCUACAGACAUUCUAUGCAGUUGUAAAGGAAGGAAUAUUGAAAUUGGGAAAAUAUGUUAUAACAUUUUUUACUUGUUUGAUUCGUUUUAUUUAAAAAAAAAAA